rnacentral:rRNA from 1 species
GACGAACGCUGGCGGCGUGCUUAACACAUGCAAGUCGAACGGAAAGGCCCUGCUUUUGUGGGGUGCUCGAGUGGCGAACGGGUGAGUAACACGUGAGUAACCUGCCCUUGACUUUGGGAUAACUUCAGGAAACUGGGGCUAAUACCGGAUAGGAGCUCCUGCUGCAUGGUGGGGGUUGGAAAGUUUCGGCGGGUGGGGAUGGAUGAGCGGCUUAUCAGCUUGUUGGUGGGGUAGUGGCUUACCAAGGCUUUGACGGGUAGCCGGCCUGAGAGGGUGACCGGCCACAUUGGGACUGAGAUACGGCCCAGACUGCUACGGGAGGCAGCAGUGGGGAAUAUUGCACAAUGGGCGGAAGCCUGAUGCAGCAACGCCGCGUGCGGGAUGACGGCCUUCGGGUUGUAAACCGCUUUCGCCUGUGACGAAGCGUGAGUGACGGUAAUGGGUAAAGAAGCACCGGCUAACUACGUG